GAUUUGUUAGCUCAGCCGGUAGAGCAUUUGCCUUUUAAGCAAAGGGUCCCGGGUUCGAAUCCCGGACAAAUCACCA
rnacentral:tRNA from 1 species